GAUAAACGCUGGCGGCGCACAUAAGACAUGCAAGUUGAACGGACUUAAUCGAAAUAUUUAUAUUUUGAAGCGGUUAGUGGCGGACUGGUGAGUAACGCGUAAGGAACCUGCCUAUUAGAGGGGAAUAACAGUGAGAAAUCAUUGCUAAUACCGCAUAUGCCAUAGAUAUCACAUGAUAACAGUGGGAAAGGAGCAAUCCGCUAAUAGAUGGCCUUGCGUCUGAUUAGAUAGUUGGUGGGGUAACGGCCUACCAAGUCGACGAUCAGUAGCCGGACUGAGAGGUUGAACGGCCGCAUUGGGACUGAGAUACGGCCCAGACUCCUACGGGAGGCAGCAGUCGGGAAUAUUGCGCAAUGGAGGAAACUCUGACGCAGUGACGCGGCGUAUAGGAAGAAGGUUGUCGGAUUGUAAACUAUUGUCGUUAGGGAAGAGAAAGGACAGUACCUAAGGAGGAAGCUCCGGCUAACUACGUG
rnacentral:rRNA from 1 species